rnacentral:rRNA from 1 species
AACGAACGCUGGCGGCAGGCCUAACACAUGCAAGUCGAGCGCCCAGCAAUGGGAGCGGCAGACGGGUGAGUAACGCGUGGGAACCUUCCCAAUGGUACGGAAUAGCUCAGGGAAACUUGAGGUAAUACCGCAUAAGCCCGAAAGGGAAAGAUUAUCGCCAUUGGAUGGGCCCGCGUAGGAUUAGCUAGUUGGUGAGGUAAUGGCUCACCAAGGCGACGAUCGGUAGCUGGUCUGAGAGGACGAUCAGCCACACUGGGACUGAGACACGGCCCAGACUCCUACGGGAGGCAGCAGUGGGGAAUCUUGCGCAAUGGGCGAAAGCCUGACGCAGCGACGCCGCGUGAGGGAUGACGGCC